rnacentral:lncRNA from 1 species
CUUCAUUGUCCUGGAAAGGUAUAUAUAGAGAUGCCUGGCGCCUUGGUGUAGGCAAGUGUUGCUACAACAUGGGAGGACUACUUGACAAAGUGGAGUCGGAGUCGGAGUCGGAGUCGGAGUCGGAGUUGGAGUCGGAGUCGGAGUCGGAGUCGGAAAUUGAGAUAGAUAACAUCGAUUUGGAGGAAGAAGCCUCAAGCUCCACAGAAAGGAAGAGAAAUCAUUCUGAUCAGCCCAAUGGCUUGGACAGUGAGACGAUACAAAUCCUCAUGGGGAAGGUAAAAGCAAUCCUUCAGGAGAAUCCGGACAUGAAUAUGCAAGAGACCUCGACGAUACUAAUCUUCUACUACCACCCGCAGACUAAAAAGAAGAAUGAAAACAGGCCAACGGCAGAUGAAGAAACUCCAGAGGAUUCUUCCAACACUUAUCCUGACAAUCCUCCAAGUAAGCCCCUGUGCCCACCUGGAGCCCAAGAUGCUGAGGCAUCUACUGUAACUCCAGGAAAAGCAAAGGCAGAAUAGUCGUUUGUGCAGGGAUCAAACAUACAACGAUGGUCCCCUCUGGACAGACCAAAGUACGCAGAUGUUGAUGAUUAAAGUACCAACAAGCAGGAAA